AACGUAGGGGGCAAGCGUUGUCCGGAAUUACUGGGCGUAAAGGGCGUGUAGGCGGUUAAUUAAGUCAGAUGUGAAACCUUAGGGCUCAACCGUAAGCUUGCAUCUGAAACUGGUUAACUUGAGGGCAGGAGAGGAGAGCGGAAUUCCCAGUGUAGCGGUGAAAUGCGUAGAUAUUGGGAGGAACACCAGUGGCGAAGGCGGCUCUCUGGCCUGAACCUGACGCUGAGGCGCGAAAGCGUGGGGAGCGAACAGG
rnacentral:rRNA from 1 species